rnacentral:rRNA from 1 species
CAACUCUCAACAACGGAUAUCUUGGCUCCCGUAACGAUGAAGAACGCAGCGAAAUGCGAUACCUAGUGUGAAUUGCAGAAUUCCGUGAAUCAUCGAGUUUUUGAACGCAUAUUGCGCUCGCGGCCUCGGCCAAGAGCAUGCCUGCCUCAGCCUCUGCU